rnacentral:rRNA from 1 species
GCGCGGGUAGCAAUACCUGGCGGCGACCGGCGAAAGGGUGAGUAACGCGUGAGCAACGUGCCCGGUAUUGGGGGAUAGUCGAUGGAAACGUCGCGUAAUACCCCAUAACAACGGAGUUCGCAUGGAUUCUGUUUGAAAGAUUCAUUGAUACCGGAUCGGCUCGCGUUCCAUUAGCUAGUUGGCGGGGUAACGGCCCACCAAGGCGACGAUGGAUAGGGGUUCUGAGAGGAAGGUCCCCCACAUUGGAACUGAGACACGGUCCAGACUCCUACGGGAGGCAGCAGUGAGGAAUAUUGGUCAAUGGCCGAGAGGCUGAACCAGCCAUGCCGCGUGCGGGAGGACGGCCCUAUGGGUUGUAAGCCGCUUUUGUAGGGGAGCAAUAAGGGUCACGUGUGGCCCGAUGAGAGUACCCUGCGAAUAAGCAUCGGCUAACUCCGUGCCAGCAGCCGCGGUAAUACGGAGGAUGCAAGCGUUAUCCGGAUUUAUUGGGUUUAAAGGGUGCGCAGGCGGCUUGUUAAGCGUGAGGUGAAAUGUCCUGGCUCAACCAGGGAACUGCCUCGCGAACUGGCUGGCUUGAAUGCCCCUGCCGUGGGAGGAAUGUGUGGUGUAGCGGUGAAAUGCAUAGAGAUCACACAGAACACCGAUUGCGAAGGCAUCUCACGAAGGGGUGAUUGACGCUGA